UUGUUUUCUGUCUUCGUAUUAGUUACCAGACUGAACUGUUUUGGGUGUUCUUUUUGUUUACGUUGUAUUUUAGUGUUCAGGGCAUUUUAAAUAGAUGACGAACACUUACCAGGUUGCAUAUUGGUCCGAUCCUUCCUACUCCUCCUCAGACGAAGAGGACUGCCGUUACACUUCAAUUUAAGGGCAGGGAACACAGACGUUUCCUGCGGUUAUGCCUGCUGCUGUUGUCCCUAUGGUGCCAGGGCAAACAUCAGGUGUAGAGGAUGGACCAUCCCUGGAAUGCUGACAAGGAGGAAAGGUCACACUGGAACCACUGGAGAGAAAAGCCCUUUUAAUUAAAAAAUGC